UCUGCCAUUGGGACCAUUAGCGCCCUCAAUGAAUGUGUCAGUUUGUUUCAGUGGGCCAAAUCUGCCAUUUCAUCUCUGCACUCUCAAUGGAGUGGCUUAGAGGGGCAAAUUCUCCAGGAUCGUGUAUUACAGUUUGAAAGUGGCCUACAAUGUCUAAGGGAUACUCUUCUUGCAAUGCACGAUCUCAUUAAUAAAGCAGAGUGGAGAAGCCAUGAACACUAUGUGGCCACUCUCCUUCCGAAUCUCAAGGAUGCAGUGUUUGAAGCCGAGGACCUUGUUGACGAGUUCAGAUGGUACCAGAAGAAGAUGCAAGUGGAGGACAAUGCAAGCCAAUCUCCGUUCACUGAGUUCUUUAAUACCGUCAUCCAAGGCGGCUUCAACAAACUAAAAGAUGUCCAACUGAGGUUGAAUGAUAUUUCAAGUUUGCUUGAAUAUAUGGGGAUUCGCUGACUUACACAAUGCUUUGACAAAUUAGUUAGGCCGGAGACCACCUCUUUGCCAAAUGAAACUAAAAUAUUUGGCCAUGAGAAGGAUCUAGAGAAGGUUUUGGGAUUUCUCAAUGUGCCUACACUCUCAAAGCGCAAGAGAGCAACUAGUUCAUUCAAUGCUUCAACAAGCACUGCAGCAAGCAACCAAGUUAGUAAUGAAUCAAGAAUACCUAGUCUUCUUAUUUUGCCAUUAGUUGGAAUUGGUGGUGUUGGAAAGACUAAUUUGGCCCAACAUGUAUGCAACCAUCAACGAGCAAAGUCUCAUUUUGAGCUCAUAAUCUGGAUUUCUGUUUCGGAUGACUUUGAUGUAAAGAGGUUAACUAAAGAGGUCAUACAAUCUUGUACUGGAAAGGAGGCAACAAUAGACAAUAAGUAUUCUCUUCAACGUGCUCUUUCUAACCAUGUGGACAAUAAGAGGUUAUUGAUAGUCCUUGAUAACAUGUGGGGUGGCGCCUUGAAGGAAAAUGGGCAAUGUUGGAAGAGGUUUUGUGCACCUUUUAGAAGUGUCCAAGAAUGAAGUGCGGUGUUGGUGACCAUGAGAUGUCCAAAUGUUACCAAGGGGGUGCACACAUUGGGGUCCAUUAUAGUUGAAGGUCUAAAGGAUGAAGUCUUCUGGAAUUUCUUUAAAUGUGUGUUUGGAUCUCAGGGUCCCAACAAUGCUCUUGAGUUAGAUUCCAUUGGUAGAAGUACACUUCCUAAAUUGAAGGGUUCUUCUUUGGCCACCAAAACUCUAGGACGUAUGUUAAGCAUGGACCUUCAAGCAUCGCACUGGAAUUCUAUACUCGCGAGUGAACUGUGAGAGCUGAAACAAGAUGAGACUGAGAUUUUGCCUGCUCUUCGGAGCUACAUGUAUGUACCAUUCUAUUUAAAGCAAUGCUUUGCUUUCUUUGCUGUGUACUCCAAAGCUCGUAAAUUCCAGAUGAGCUGCUUAGUUGAAAUUUGGGUAUCAGAAGGCUUUGUGGAACCUCAAGGUCGCUUCACAAUUCAUGAUAUUGGUUGUCUGUAUUUUGUAGACCUUGUAGCACGGCCGUUCUUUCAAAAAGUUAGUGGUGGAUACGUAAUCCAUGAUUUGAUGCAUGACAUGGCACAAAAAGUUUCGGAGCACAACUCCUUCAUCCUAAGAAAUAAGAAUGACUUUGAUAAAGUUCCACAGAAUGUUCAUCAUCUCUACAUACUCCCUAGCGGUGACUUUGACAAUUCCAGCUUGUUGAGAUUAUGCAAGUACACGAAGCUAAAUACCCUAAUUUGCAAGAAGGAUUUUAACAAGAAUAAUGGAUUUUUCAUGGACCAGUGGUGUACUAAACUUAUUCGUAUGCGUAUGAUUUCUUUUGCCUUCGCUACUGAGUUACCAGAUAGUAUUGGCAACUCGAAACAUCUUCGGUAUCUUGAAAUCUCCAAUGAUUGUCCUUUCAAGAUGAUUACUUCAACUUUCUGUCAGCUAUAUAAUCUGCAGUUCUUAUAUGCCAAGAAAUUCAAGCUAAUAAGUUUUGCCUCAGCCCGUGGUUCAAUCCAACGAAAAGACAUUACGUACAUGCCUGCCUUGUAG
rnacentral:rRNA from 1 species